UACGUAGGGGGCAAGCGUUGUCCGGAUUUAUUGGGCGUAAAGAGCGUGUAGGCGGCCUGACAGGUCUGCUGUGAAAACUCGAGGCUCAACCUCGAGAUGUCGGCGGAAACCGUCUGGCUGGAGUCCGGAAGAGGAGAGUGGAAUUCCUGGUGUAGCGGUGAAAUGCGCAGAUAUCAGGAAGAACACCUAUGGCGAAGGCAGCUCUCUGGGACGGUACUGACGCUGAGACGCGAAAGCGUGGGGAGCGAACAGG
rnacentral:rRNA from 1 species